AGGUGAACCUGCGGAAGGAUCAUUAAAGAGUAAGGGUGCUCAGCGCCCGACCUCCAACCCUCUGUUGUUAAAACCACACCGUUGCUUUGGCGGGACCGCUCCGGUCCUUCCGAGCCGUCGGGGCCCCUGAAAAGGCCCAGGCGAGUUCCCGCCAGAGUUAAACCAAACUCUUGUUAAUAAAACCGGUCGUCUGAGUUAAAUUUUUGAAUAAAUCAAAACUUUCAACAACGGAUCUCUUGGUUCUCGCAUCGAUGAAGAACGCAGCGAAAUGCGAUAAGUAAUGUGAAUUGCAGAAUUCAGUGAAUCAUCGAAUCUUUGAACGCACAUUGCGCCCCUUGGUAUUCCGAGGGGCAUGCCUGUUCGAGCGUCAUUACACCACUCAAGCACAGCUUGGUAUUGGGCGUCCGUCUCCCUCGCGGGGGGCGCGCCUCGAAGACCUCGGCGGAGCUUCACCGGCUUUAGGCGUAGUAGAAUUCAUUCGAACGUCUUUUAACGGAGAGGACUCCUCAGCCGACAGAAACCUUUUAUUUUUUUCUAGGUUGACCUCGGAUCAGGUAGGGAUACCCGCUGAAC
rnacentral:rRNA from 1 species